AUCUAACUGACAAGUCCCAAAUAGAGUGAAGCAUGCGUCCUAGAU
rnacentral:hammerhead_ribozyme from 1 species